rnacentral:rRNA from 1 species
UACGUAGGGUGCGAGCGUUGUCCGGAAUUAUUGGGCGUAAAGAGCUCGUAGGCGGUGUGUCGCGUCGGCCGUGAAAACCUGCAGCUUAACUGUGGGCGUGCGGUCGAUACGGGCAUCACUGGAGUUCGGCAGGGGAGACUGGAAUUCCUGGUGUAGCGGUGAAAUGCGCAGAUAUCAGGAGGAACACCGGUGGCGAAGGCAGGUCUCUGGGCCACUACUGACGCUGAGAAGCGAAAGCGUGGGGAGCGAACAGG